CCUACGGGAGGCAGCAGUGGGGAAUAUUGGACAAUGGGCGAAAGCCUGAUCCAGCCAUGCCGCGUGUGUGAAGAAGGCCUUCGGGUUGUAAAGCACUUUCAGUGGGGAAGAAAGCCUUGGGGCUAAUACCCUCGAGGAAGGACAUCACCCACAGAAGAAGCACCGGCUAACUCCGUGCCAGCAGCCGCGGUAAUACGGAGGGUGCGAGCGUUAAUCGGAAUUACUGGGCGUAAAGCGCGCGUAGGCGGUCUGAUAAGCCGGUUGUGAAAGCCCCGGGCUCAACCUGGGAACGGCAUCCGGAACUGUCAGGCUAGAGUGCAGGAGAGGAAGGUAGAAUUCCCGGUGUAGCGGUGAAAUGCGUAGAGAUCGGGAGGAAUACCAGUGGCGAAGGCGGCCUUCUGGACUGACACUGACGCUGAGGUGCGAAAGCGUGGGUAGCAAACAGGAUUAGAUACCGAGUAGUC
rnacentral:rRNA from 1 species